GUCGAACGAUUAAACUUUCCUUCGGGAAAGAUAUAAAGUGGCGCACGGGUGAGUAACACGUAAGUAAUCUACCUUUGAGUGGGGAAUAACGUCGGGAAACCGACGCUAAUACCGCAUAAUGCAGCGGCAUCGUAAGAUGACAGUUGUUAAAGAUUUAUCGCUUGAAGAGGAGCUUGCGGCAGAUUAGCUUGUUGGUAAGGUAACGGCUUACCAAGGCUACGAUCUGUAUCCGACCUGAGAGGGUGGUCGGACACACUGACACUGAAUAACGGGUCAGACUCCUACGGGAGGCAGCAGUCGGGAAUUUUGGGCAAUGGGCGAAAGCCUGACCCAGCAACGCCGCUUGAAGGAUGAAGUAUUUCGGUAUGUAAACUUCGAAAGAAUAGGAAGAAUAAAUGACGGUACUAUUUAUAAGGUCCGGCUAACUACGUGCCAGCAGCCGCGGUAAUACGUAGGGACCAAGCGUUGUUCGGAUUUACUGGGCGUAAAGGGCGCGUAGGCGGCAAUUCAAGUCAUCUGUGAAAUCUCCGGGCUUAACUCGGAACGGUCAGAUGAUACUGCUUUGCUAGAGUGCAGAAGGGGCAAUCGGAAUUCUUGGUGUAGCGGUGAAAUGCGUAGAUAUCAAGAGGAACACCUGAGGUGAAGACGG
rnacentral:rRNA from 1 species